rnacentral:rRNA from 1 species
AACUUUCAGCAGUGGAUGUCUAGGCUCGCACAUCGAUGAAGAACGCUGCGAACUGCGAUACGUAAUGCGAAUUGCAGGAUUCAGUGGGGUCAUCGAAAUUUUGAA